rnacentral:rRNA from 1 species
UACGGAGGGUGCGAGCGUUGUCCGGAAUCAUUGGGCGUAAAGGGCGCGUAGGCGGGGGCUCAAGUCCGUGGUGAAAUCCUCCGGCUCAACCGGAGAACUGCCUCGGAUACUGGGCGUCUCGAGUGUGGUAGGGGUAUGCGGAACUAUCGGUGGAGCGGUGAAAUGCGUUGAUAUCGAUAGGAACUCCGGUGGCGAAGGCGGCAUACUGGACCACCACUGACGCUGAUGCGCGAAAGCCAGGGGAGCAAACGGG